AGGACUUGCGGAGCUCCCCCGGCCUGGAGCUGCAGGAGCCCAGGCCAGUCACCUGAGCUCAAACCGCCUUUCUGCCCACAGCAGCAAGAGUAGAGGUGUGCAAUGCAGGCACGGAGACAUUAGCUAAGUAUUUUCCGGAUCACUCGUCCAGUACAUUUGUAUUCAGAUCUGACUUGAGAGUCUGCACCCUUCUGCAUUCCUGAUAUUUCUGCUUCUCCCAGAGAGACCAAAAAUGAAGGCCUUGAGAUGUGCGAGAGAUUUACCAAAGUCUAGAACUGACCAGUGCUGAAAUUGACCAGGGCAAGAGAAAGGGGAAGAUCAGCAUGUGACAUUUCCCAAAGAGGUAUGAAUAGCAUGGUGCAGAUAUUCACAAUCUGUAAAAUGUUAAGGACAGAAAUGUACCUGCCGUUGGACUAAACAGGGAGGAACUUAGCCAUACAGAAACUAUUUGAGGGACACAACCCAGGAU
rnacentral:lncRNA from 1 species